ensembl:lncRNA
AUUAAGUCAUCGAGUCAUUUAUUAAUUUGUUUGAUUCGUUCAAAUGGCUGAUUCAUUCAGGAGUGAAGUGAAGGGUUCUUUAUGAAUCGUUCAUUCAAUCAUUAGGCUUGUUUGACUUGAAGCGGAUCAUCACCAUCAGACCGAUCGGUGUGUGACAUCAAAGAACCGCAAGAGCUUAGAGAGCAGACGACUCCUUGUGCUUUUGAAUCGCUCUCACUGUAUUUUGAUGUCAUACCGAUCGGUCUGUGCAGCGCCACUUCAAAUCUAACUUCUUAAUGAACUGUUUAUUGCACUCAUGUGAUAUAGCACUUAGCCUACAGUUUGUGUGAUAUUUCUUAACUAUGUGAUGUAAAUAUGAGACACAAUCUCAAACGGGCGUUUUGCCCCAUAUCUUGAAAUUUAGGGAUAUUCUCUAGGCUCCAUCAUGCAGUAAGUUGUUGCUCUGCCACAUAUUAGUCAUCAAUCGACUGUAUGAAAUGACAGAUGAUACACAUAGGUCUGGGGCGGGGCAAGUGCGUUAAAUGCGUUAAUAAUUUUAACGUGUUAUUAGUUUUCUCCGUAAUUAAUCUAAUUAACGCUUUAAAUUACCAGCCCUAAUUAUUAUUAUUAUUAUUAUUAUUAUUAUUAUUAUUAUUUAUUUUUUUAUUUUUUUUGUAACAAAAUGUCCUUUUGUUGGCUGUGGUCUCUGGAGACCCCAAACAGCACGAGUGUCCUCCCCAAACGAACAGCACAUAAGAGUUAAACAAAACACUUUAUACUCAAUAUCUCAUGAUGAUUGUGUUCACAUUAUAUUAGUGAAAGAUUCUUCACCUUAAUGAUUUAUUUGUAAGAGGAUCUCUCUUCCUCUGUUUGUCUCUUUCUAGUCUUUAUGACUGUGGCAUUACAGAUGUUUCUUCUUUAACUCAGUCUUUGACAAACACAAAAGUUCUGCAGUUUCUAAAAGAGCUUAAUCUGAGAGAUAAUAAGAUUGGAGACUCAAAGCAGAAGCUCAUUGAUGUGCUACGAGACUCAAACUGUGAACUGAGAGUUCAAUCACAAGAAGCUGAUAAAUGCUGUAUAUCAUAAUCUGAAGUGGUCUUGAGAGGAGCAGUA